rnacentral:rRNA from 1 species
GUUUGAUCCUGGCUCAGGACGAACGCUGGCGGCGUGCCUAAUACAUGCAAGUCGAGCGGACCUUGUGUUUCUUUCGGGAGACGCCAGGUUAGCGGCGGACGGGUGAGUAACACGUAGGCAACCUGCCUGUAAGACCGGGAUAACUUGCGGAAACGUGAGCUAAUACCGGAUAGCUGGUUUCUUCGCAUGAAGAAGUCAUGAAAGACGGGGCAACCUGUCACUUACAGAUGGGCCUGCGGCGCAUUAGCUAGUUGGUAGGGUAACGGCUUACCAAGGCGACGAUGCGUAGCCGACCUGAGAGGGUGAACGGCCACACUGGGACUGAGACACGGCCCAGACUCCUACGGGAGGCAGCAGUAGGGAAUCUUCCGCAAUGGACGAAAGUCUGACGGAGCAACGCCGCGUGAGUGAUGAAGGUUUUCGGAUCGUAAAGCUCUGUUGCCAAGGANGAACGGCCAGGGGAGUAACUGCCCCUGGAGUGACGGUACUUGAGAAGAAAGCCCCGGCUAGCUACGUGCCAGCACCCGCGGUNAUACGUAGGGGGCAAGCGUUGUCCGGNAUUUNUUGGGCGUAAAGNGNGNGCNGCNGGCGGUCUUUUAAGUCUGGUGUUUNNGCCCGGGGCUCANCCCCGGUUCGCACUGGAAACUGGGAGACUUGAGUGUAGGNGAGGAANGUGGNNUUACCNCGUGUNGCGGUGAAAUGCGUAGGAUGUGGAGGAACACCAGUGGCGAAGGCGGCUUUCUGGCCUAUAACUGACGCUGAGGCGCGNAAGCGUGGGGAGCAAACAGGAUUAGNUACCCUGGUAGU